UUUUAGGGCAGUGUGAGGGGCGAUGUGUAUUAGCUUUUGAGGGAUUUAAUGAAGCAAGAUUUGACAGCAUUUCAUAUCAGGAAGGACUGUUCAUGAGCACUUGGUGACUCACUCCUCGCUAUGUCACUGAAAGACAGAACAAGAAGAAACACUUGAAAACAGCCAGAGAUCAAUUUGCAGUGACAGUUUAACUCAUACAGAACCAAUUCUUCCAGGGACUCUGAGGCUAUCAGGAGAUGGCCUUGCUUCAAUGUGUUGACUGCCAUAGGACUACUUUGAAAGACUGAACCCUCUUUUGAGGCUGUUCAAAACAGGAGAGGCCAGCUGCCCAGGAUCGUCAAGGCCCAAUUCACCCUAGAGCAAAGCACAUGGAAGAGGUCCCAAGAGGCCUCUUUGUUUGUAAGUCAGCAUAUUUAGCAUUGGAACCAACUGAUUUUCUUUUAUUAUUUCAUUUUUUGAAUUCCUGUUGGUAUUCUAAUGAGAGAGAGAGAGAG